CCGCGGUAAUACGGAGGAUCCAAGCGUUAUCCGGAAUCAUUGGGUUUAAAGGGUCCGUAGGCGGUUUUUUAAGUCAGAGGUGAAAUCCUGCAGCUCAACUGUAGAAUUGCCUUUGAUACUGAAAGACUUGAGUUAUUGUGAAGUGGUUAGAAUGUGUGGUGUAGCGGUGAAAUGCAUAGAUAUCACACAGAAUACCAAUUGCGAAGGCAGAUCACUAACAAUAUACUGACGCUCAGGGACGAAAGCGUGGGUAGCGAACAGG
rnacentral:rRNA from 1 species